UACGUAGGGGGCUAGCGUUAAUCGGAAUUACUGGGCGUAAAGCGUGCGCAGGCGGUUAUGCAAGACAGAGGUCGAAAUCCCCGGGGCUCAACCUGGGAACUGCCUUUGUGACUGCAUAGCUAGAGUACGGUAGAGGGGGAUGGAAUUCCGCGUGUAGCAGUGAAAUGCGUAGAUAUGCGGAGGAACACCGAUGGCGAAGGCAAUCCCCUGGACCUGUACUGACGCUGAUGCACGAAAGCGUGGGGAGCAAACAGG
rnacentral:rRNA from 1 species